rnacentral:lncRNA from 1 species
GUCUGAUUGUGUUUUUAACCCCUCAUUGCAAAAUAAGAACAAAGGCAUUAAAUAACAUAGCAGAUGUGAUGGCAAAUUUUUAUGUCAUAACCAAUAACAGAAUAUAACCAAGUAAAAUGCAUAGAAGAGCUGCUUGUAACUGAUGAAGAGUACAAUCUAGAACAUCCAUUGAUGUUAUAGCAUAGAGAAAAUAUGCUCCAUUGUUGGAAAUAGAGGUCACUGAAGUAAUAAUUUCAAAUGAGCUAAUCUAUGUCUUAAAACCUGUGGGAUCUGCCAUGCUUCAUUGAUGCCAAGGUCAAAGAUAAGGGCUAUGCACAGCAGGUACAAAUUACUGCAGCCAUUCAUUGGAGUGAUUUCUGAAUUACUACUACCAUCAGUGUGGGAUAGGUCAAAACAAUUAUAAUUUUGAGCCCCUCAGAGAGCUGUUAUAUUACUAAAUAUGUCUUAUAUAUCUAAGUGCCAGACUCAAAAGCACACUUAAGACAGAGGAAAAACAAGCAAGGAAUACGAAUCAGUGAAUUAGUGGUUAAAUCUUUAAGAUGGUAAGGCUGAGUCUCACAUACAGGUCAAACUUCCAAAGUCAUUACUGUUUCUUGCUUCUCAUCCACUGCUAAUAUGAAAUAUAUCCCAAGGAGAGGAUCAGGGCUCCUUGUUGCCUGCUUCCUCCUCCUGUUAUCACUGCUACUCACUUUUAACUCUCUUGAACAGGAUCUGCAGUUGGGAGUAAAGAUGUCUGACUCCAGAAACUUCUUGAGGCUUGCUGUAGGCCCCUGCGCACUCUUCUCUUCUUUACCCAGGGACCCCAACAAGAAGGAUGAAAUAUGCCCAUCUUCCUGUAAAAAGCCUACAUGCUUCCACUCCAGGAAAGCAAGGAAAGCAACUGAGUUGAAGCUACAAAACCACAGCUGCAGUACUUUUGAAAUUACUUAUCUGAGAGGGAGAACCUUAUCAAAUUAUGGACAACACCUCCAUUGCAGAUAAACUCAGUAACUGAAGUUACUGAACACAGUUAUUUUACUGUUUAAGAAAGAAAAUCCAAGAAGAACCAGCAUGAAAGAGUACAGAAUAAAGAUGUCUCGUUUGGCUACAGACUCAUUUUGGUAUCUCUGCCUUAAGAACUUUGAUGGAGGAUAUUCCUUUAGGAUGGCUCCCUCAUGCAGUAGGACUGAAAUAAUUUAUUGCAUAAAUUAAUAGUGACCAUUCUUUUAGUGUAUUAUGGAUAGCGAAAUCUCAUGUGAGGAUUGGGAAAUUUUGCUUAGAGUAUUUGUGGAUAACUUGAGAGAAUUUGUAAAAGAGAGAAGUAUACUGAUCUUACCUGAGCCUAUGACAUCAAAACAAGUGUUAAAGAGACAUUAUUUAAAAAAAACUCCAUUAUUGACACUGUUCAGUAAUAGGUAAGCCAUUUAUAUAAUGAAAUUAAAAUCUGACCAAUUUCUUCUCUUUCACAGAACCAGAAAUCAGUUUAUGCAUGCUUUUCUAAAGCAAAUAAUUGAAAGGAACCAUGAUUUAGCACCUUAAGAUAAAAUUAGUAAGGAUAUUUUUAUUCCAGAAUAUUUUGGAGCUAUAAAAUAAUGUCAGAUGGGCCAAGGUUUUUCUAUAAUUUUACUUGUUAUUGCUUAAGAAAUGACUAAAAUAUAUCAUUUUGAAAUCUCAUACUCUCACAAAAGCCUAACCCUAAAACUCCUGAAUGAUUCAUUAAUAUCUCUUAGUAAAGAAAAAAAAAAAUCAUAAUUUGUCAGAUCCUUAUAAGUUUAUCUCCUCAUCAUGUCUUGAGCUAGAUCUCACAUAUGUCCAGGGUGCCAUUGUCCUGGGAGAUGUCCUUGCUGUCGGUUCAUGACUGAACAAAAAAUGUCCCAAACUGUAAAACUAACCCUUUUCCAUGCCCUGCAAUUUGCAGUGACAGAUAUACUAAUUUGAGUAACCCACAAAAUACUCUUAAACAGUAGAGAAAAAGUAAGGUGAAAUGAGAAGUACAAAACCUUAUUUUCUGAGUUUUUAUAAAUACAUUUGCAAGUAUUUAUGGCUAAGAUUAUUAAGACCUUUGAAACUUUAAACUGGAGUAAAACGUACCAUGAGCCAGACAAUACAAGUGUAGUCCCAUAAAAUAAAUAAAUAAAAUCCCAGUAACAGUCUCUCCCAAAACAGUUCUUAGCAUCAAAAAUUCAAACAGUAGAUACCAUCUGAAUUUCAGUAUAGGAACAAGAUAAUUAUAAUAACCUAAUUGUAUGAGAAUAAACAGCCAUUUAUAAUCACCUUGCUGGUAGCAACUAUUCGUCAGAUGCAAACAAUGUUGGAUUGCUCAUCUGAUAAAUAAGAACUGGAAAGGGUUUUUGGGGAGUUACUGGUCUGACACUCAUACCCCUAUUUCCUGAUGCAGCAAGGAUGGUACUCCCUUUUCUCACCUCAUCCAGUCACAAACCAGGCCUGAAGUGACUGAAACAAAACUUGCUGUGUUAUUUCUCCCUUUUUAAAUAUUAUUUUACUGUAGUUGAAAUGUAUAAAGCUCAGUAUAUGCAAGUUUUAAACAAAUACAAACUACACUCAGUUACAGCAGAACAAAGCCAUACUUUCUCUUCACCUUUUUACCUAGGUCUUCAUUUCUGCCUUCUGCAAAAUUUCUUUAGCACUCACAAGUUAUGGAUGUGUUCAACAGGCACAAAAAUGCCAGUCAAUUCUUUUGUUUCUACCUAAGGUUCUGAAGUCACAUUUCUUUUAAGAAAGGACACCUUGAAAUUACUUUUUUAUCUGACAUAUUUUAGAUCAUUUAUCAUUGUAUUAACUAAAGAUAUUAGUAGCAUUACCAACAAGAUAUACAGCAGUGUUUCAUCAAGAUAUUAAAAGUUCUUUGACAUUCAUGAAGCAGUAGGUUUGGAAAAGCAAGAAACUCACCUGUUUGAAGCUGUAUGACAAAUUUGUAGGGACCCUGGGCAGCUCCUGGCCUCACUCCAAGCCUCCUUGGUGUUCAUCCCUGCUGCUGCCAGAUAUUAUUUUUCUCUGAAAGAAGCUAAGUGUAUAUAAUCCCCUCUUAAUUUCUAUUUGAAUGCUUUGUCAAAUAUGGGAUAAAAUGAGCAAACACAUCUUUCAGCAAGAGUUUCUACUAAUGUUUCUUUCCUUCCAGUGUAAUAAAUUUUUUCUACUUGUGUUUUCUAAUGGAAAACUGAAGGACUCCAGAUACAAUAAACAAGAAUUUUAGUGUGAUGCUAGCUGCAAUCUGUUUUUUAUUAAUUUAAAUUUUUGCCUUAAAUCCUUUUUAUAUGUAUUAUUUCCACUGAAACCUGGCCACUUCUGUCUUGCUUUGAUGAUUUUUUGUAGCUCAUUAUUAAUUUCAUUUUAAUUUUGCAGCACUACAUAAGGUGAGAUACUGAUACCAGCUAGAACUACAGCCAUUGAACGCAUUUCUGAUGCAACUGCAUGCAUCGGGUAUAUACUUAAAAAUAUAAAUCUUAUUAAUUAUAAAAGUAAUUAUAAAGAUCAAAUUUCUGUAAAAUUCUAUUUUCUCAGGUACUGAAAUGAACAUAAAACUAAUAAUUUAAUAUUUUUUAAUGAUUUAUUUUAUCUUUUUUUUGGAAAGAAUGAAACUUUUCCAUCUAAAUGACUGUACACUCUGAAAUAACACCAGACCUUUAUGAUAGUCUAGUGUUUUUUUUUAUUUGUUUGCUAUUUUAGACAUUUUCAC